rnacentral:rRNA from 1 species
ACACAUGCAGUCGACGCCCCGCAAGGGGAGUGGCAGACGGGUGAGUAACGCGUGGGAACAUACCCUUUCCUGCGGAAUAGCUCCGGGAAACUGGAAUUAAUACCGCAUACGCCCUACGGGGGAAAGAUUUAUCGGGGAAGGAUUGGCCCGCGUUGGAUUAGCUAGUUGGUGGGGUAAAGGCCUACCAAGGCGACGAUCCAUAGCUGGUCUGAGAGGAUGAUCAGCCACAUUGGGACUGAGACACGGCCCAAACUCCUACGGGAGGCAGCAGUGGGGAAUAUUGGACAAUGGGCGCAAGCCUGAUCCAGCCAUGCCGCGUGAGUGAUGAAGGCCUUAGGGUUGUAAAGCUCUUUCACCGAUGAAGAUAAUGACGGUAGUCGGAGAAGAAGCCCCGGCUAACUUCGUGCCAGCAGCCGCGGUAAUACGAAGGGGGCUAGCGUUGUUCGGAAUUACUGGGCGUAAAGCGCACGUAGGCGGAUAUUUAAGUCAGGGGUGAAAUCCCGCAGCUCAACUGCGGAACUGCCUUUGAUACUGGGUAUCUUGAGUAUGGAAGAGGUAAGUGGAAUUCCGAGUGUAGAGGUGAAAUUCGUAGAUAUUCGGAGGAACACCAGUGGCGAAGGCGGCUUACUGGUCCAUUACUGACCCUGAGGUGCGAAAACCGUGGGGAGCAAACAGGAUUAGAUACCCUGGUAGUCCACACCGUAAACUAUAAAUGUUAGCCGUCCGGGCAUUAUACUGGUUCGGUGGGUCCACCUUAUCGCAUUAAACAUUCCCCCCUGGCGAGUACGGUUCGUCAAGAUUUAAAACUUCAAUGGAAUUGACCGCGGGCCCCACACAAAUCGGGUGGAGCAUGUGGUUU